rnacentral:lncRNA from 1 species
AUAAAGUCUGACACUGUUUCCACUGUUUCCCCAUCUAUUUCCCAUGAAGUGGUGGGACCAGAUGCCAUGAUCUUUGUUUUCUGAAUGUUGAGCUUUAAGCCAACUUUUUCAGUCUCCUCGUUCACGCUUUUGCAUAUCUGAGGUUAUUGAUAUUUCUCCCAGCAAUCUUGAUGCCAGCUUGUGCUUCUUCCAGCCCAGCGUUUCUCAUGAUGUACUCUGCAUAUAAGUUAAAUAAGCAGGGUAACAAUAUACAGCCUUGACGUACUCCUUUUCCUAUUUGGAAACAGUCUGUUGUUCCAUGUCCAGUUCUAACUGUUGCUUCCUGACCUGCAUAUAGGUUUCCCAAGAAGCAGGUCAGGUGGUCUGGUAUUCCCAUCUCUUUCAGAAUUUUCCACAGUUUCUUGUGAUCCACAUAGUCAAAGGCUUUGGCAUCAUCAAUAAAGCAGAAAUAGAUGUUUUUCUGGAACUCUCUUGCUUUUUCAAUGAUCCAGCAGAUGUUGGAAAUUUGAUCUCUGGUUCCUCUGCCUUUUCUAAAACCAGCUUGAACAUCUGGAAGUUCAUGUAUUGCUGAAGCCUGGCUUGGAGAAUUUUGAGCAUUACUUUACUAGUGUGUGAGAUGAGUGCAAUUGUGCAGUAGUUUGAGCAUUCUUUGGCAUUGCCUUUCUUUGGGAUUGGAAUGAAAAGUCACCUUUUCCAGUCCUGUGGCCACUGCUGCAUUGGUACUAAAUAAAAGAUAAGAAAAAAAAAACAAAAACAAAAACCAAGAGUCAAGACAAAAGAAAGGUACCAAGGAAUAAAAAAAUGUGGGAAUCGGGUAUAGGGAGGGUCAUCUGCUGUGCUGUGCUUAGUUGCUCAGUCGUGUCUGACUCUUUGUGACACCAUGGACUGUAGAACAUUAUUAAGAAAUGAAGAAUUAAGACGAGUUCAAAAAUGACUUCUGAUCUUCCAAACCAUCAUUGCAAAGGAGAGAAUAUAGUGGACUCUACACGUUCAUUAGGGGGAGCCAGUGUUUCUUCUGCCUACGAUCAUCAUCACUAGCACUAUGGGGCUCAGCCUCAUGCGCUGCAUAGAAAGAAAAAGAAGAAAGAAACAUAAUAUAUACUCAAAUCCUCAGUAAGCUGAAGUAUAGAUUAGCUCCAGUAUUCUGGCCUGGAGAAUUCCAUGGACUUCUCCAUGGGGUCCAAAAGAGUCGGACGUGACUGAGCCACUGUCACUUCAUAGAUCUUUUAAGAUCAUUGUCAGAAAGCACAUCACUUCCUGUUGAAAGAACUUCUCCUUAAAGCUUCCUUUUUCUAACUUUUUGAUGC